rnacentral:rRNA from 1 species
CUUUCGUACUCGUCGAUGCAUCNAGAUUANAGUUUGAUCAUGGCUCAGAGUGAACGCUGGCGGUAGGCCUAACACAUGCAAGUCGAACGGCAGCACAGGAGAGCUUGCUCUCUGGGUGGCGAGUGGCGGACGGGUGAGGAAUACAUCGGAAUCUACUCUGUCGUGGGGGAUAACGUACGGGAAACUUACGCUAAUACCGCAUACGACCUACGGGUGAAAGCAGGGGGAUCUUCGGACCUUGCGCGAUUGAAUGAGCCGAUGUCGGAUUAGCUAGUUGGCGGGGUAAAGGCCCACCAAGGCGACGAUCCGUAGCUGGUCUGAGAGGAUGAUCAGCCACACUGGAACUGAGACACGGUCCAGACUCCUACGGGAGGCAGCAGUGGGGAAUAUUGGACAAUGGGCGCAGGCCUGAUCCAGCCAUACCGCGUGGGUAGAAGAAGGCCUUCGGGUUGUAAAGCCCUUUUGUUGGGAAAGAAAUCCAGCUGGCUAAUACCUGGUUGGGAUGACGGUACCCAAAGAAUAAGCACCGGCUAACUUCGUGCCACACC